rnacentral:rRNA from 1 species
CCUACGGGAGGCAGCAGUAAGGAAUAUUGGACAAUGGUCGCAAGACUGAUCCAGCCAUGCCGCGUGCAGGAUGACAGCCCUAUGGGUCGUAAACUGCUUUUGUGCGAGAAAAAACCCCUCUACGUGUAGAGGGCUGAUUGUAUCGUAAGAAUAAGGAUCGGCUAACUCCGUGCCAGCAGCCGCGGUAAUACGGAGGAUCCAAGCGUUAUCCGGAUUCAUUGGGUUUAAAGGGUGCGUAGGCGGAAUGAUAAGUCAGUGGUGAAAGCCUGCAGCUUAACUGCAGAACUGCCAUUGAUACUGUCAAUCUUGAGUACAUUUGAUGUGGGCGGAAUGUGUCAUGUAGCGGUGAAAUGCUUAGAUAUGACACAGAACACCGAUUGCGAAGGCAGCUCACAAAACUGUAACUGACGCUGAGGCACGAAAGCGUGGGUAUCAAACAGGAUUAGAUACCCUGGUAGUCCACGCUGUAAACUAUGAUUACUCGAUGUUUGCGAUACACUGUAAGCGUCUAAGCGAAAGCGAUAAGUAAUCCACCUGGGGAGUACGCUCGCAGAGUUGAAACUUAAAUUGAAUUGACCGGGNGNGAGAGUGACGACGGACGACGACGGAGGGAAGGAAGG